rfam:Rhizoctonia solani AG-1 IA unplaced genomic scaffold scaffold1, whole genome shotgun sequence.
GGCCGCCUGGCGAAAUGGUAUCGCGUCUGACUACGAUAUGUAUCCAUCAGGAGAUUGCAGGUUCGAGCCCUGCGGUGGUCA